rnacentral:rRNA from 1 species
AGCGAACGCUGGCGGCAGGCUUAACACAUGCAAGUCGAGCGGGCACUUCGGUGUCAGCGGCAGACGGGUGAGUAACACGUGGGAACGUACCCUUUGGUUCGGAAUAACGCUGGGAAACUAGCGCUAAUACCGGAUACGCCCUUUUGGGGAAAGGCUUGCUGCCGAAGGAUCGGCCCGCGUCUGAUUAGCUAGUUGGUGGGGUAAUGGCCUACCAAGGCGACGAUCAGUAGCUGGUCUGAGAGGAUGAUCAGCCACACUGGGACUGAGACACGGCCCAGACUCCUACGGGAGGCAGCAGUGGGGAAUAUUGGACAAUGGGCGCAAGCCUGAUCCAGCCAUGCCGCGUGAGUGAUGAAGGCCUUAGGGUUGUAAAGCUCUUUUGUCCGGGACGACAAUGACGGUACCGGAAGAAUAAGCCCCGGCUAACUUCGUG